CUUGGGAGAGACUCGACCGCUCUUUUAUUUCACCAAGUAACUAGCGUCUGGGCUGAUGGCUGCAGAAUUGCUCGCAGGGCUGGGGACAUUAAAAUCCCUGUCCAGAGCAAAUGCGGAACCGACAGCCACUUCAGCACGCAGGAUUUGUGGAACCAUCGCCCGCAUUAAGUGCUAGCAUCCAGCUUUCGUCUGCUCUCUGGCUGGCAGCUUCUUUAAGGCCUCAUCCGAGACUCUUGGGCAACAAGAACAUGGCAUUUGACCUUCUGCUAUGGUGAAACUGAGGCACAGAAAGGUCAAGCAACUUGCCCAAAGUCACCCAGCUAGAAAGUGGUAGAGACAGAAUUUGGGUCCGGGCCACGUGGCUCUCGAGUCCCGCUCUCKCCUGCCACCACCAUCUCUGCUGCUUCUGCUCUCUGCUGUGUCUCAGCUCAGACAGUCCUUGACCUCUUGGGGAGCUCAGCACAGACCGAGUGAGUGAAUGAACACCGAGACCCACYGCAGCGUAGUUCCCGAGCCCAGCUUCACUCACACAGGGGGAGAAUGCUGGACUGGCCUUCUGUUGCCCUGCUACCUGCCAUGCCCACCAGGCUGCCCACUUGUGGUGGGGGCAGCAAUAGUUCAGAAUGAAUUCUCCCUGGGUUUUCAAGUGGUUCCUUUUGCCKGUGGCUCUCAGGGAGGGUUAGGUGGGGCUGGUUGGGCAAAUCAGCUCCUUCUGAACGUGGUCAAGACCCACAUGUGGUGUGGCCAGGCUCCCACUCUCCCUGUCCAGCACCUCCACAGAGUCCCGGAGAGUCUAGAGGGGCCCAGAGCCGAGCCCACCCCACCAGCACAGGGUGGGCAGACUCGACAGGCUCCUGCRGCCCCAAGCAUCCAAUCUGCAACGUAUCAGCACCAGGAGCGCCAGGAGGGACUGCCCCCCACCCAGGAGCGCACAUAUCCGCAAUGCAAUUCCUUCGAGGAAAAUUACUCAAGCAGCCAUUUAUUAAAACACAACUGCUCCCGAGGAGCCUUUCGGCAGUGGAAAUACCAAAUAGCUUUGAAGCUCCAGCCGUCCCCGAAACCAAUGAAGCAGGCUUCUAGGCACUAUCUGACUUUUAAUCUGCUUGUUCUUUCCCCAUCUGGAAGGUCUAAUGAAAUGUUACACUAUGAGGAACACGGAAAUAAGGAACUUCAGAGGUGAGGGACAUACAUUUAAUUUCUUGCCUUGGCCUGUUAUUUGCAUAAACCUCAAGUGGGGGAAAGAGAAGAAAAAUGGCUGUGUCUGAGCCUCCCGGGGGCAGGGCGUGGGGCUUGGAGGGUGACUGCACCUAGCACGCWGCCCAGGGAGGGGCCCUGCAUCUCAUCUCUGAGGCAGAGAAGACUGGAGCUCCCGUGUCCGUGUCCUCCUCUUYCUUGGGGACCAUAGCUGGACAACUUGAUGGAGUCCUUUGGUUCCACCAGGGGCCAUGUUCUUGUCAGUGUGCACAGAAGGGGUGCACACGCGACUUGGGUCCUUCCAAGCCUGCCUGGUUAGAGCAGGGGUGUCCUCUUCACCYUGUCUUUUCCCUGCCUGCCUCAAGGACGACACCACGGAAAGAGCCUUGGUCCCUGUUGGGCUCUCGGAGGGAGCCCAGCUCUUUCCCAUUGGGCCACCCCAAACUGUAAACUGAGAAAGACAGAAGCUCCUAUUUUGGAUGAAGCCAUUACAAUUUGGGAUUCUUUGCUCCAGAGUUAGCCUACCCUGAUUUAGGCAAUCUUAAUUUUUUAGAUGAGGAAAUAYAGACCAAGAGUUGAAAGUGACUUGCCCCAGGUCACAAUGACCCUAGAUCCAUCCAACAGGGUACUGUCUGACCCUAGGUCCAUCCAAGAGAGUAUUAUCUGAGCCUAGAUCCAUCCAAGAGAGCACUGUCUGAGCCUAGAUCCAUCUAAGAGRGYACUGUCUGAGCCUAGAUCCAUCCAAGAGRGUAUUGUCUGAGCYUAGAUCCAUCCAAGAGAGCACUGUCUGAGCCUAGAUCCAUCCAAGAGAGCACUGUCUGAGCCUAGAUCCAUCCAAGAGAGCACUGUCUGAGCCUAGAUCCAUCCAAGAGAGCACUGUCUGAGCCUAGAUCCAUCCAAGAGAGCACUGUCUGAGCCUAGAUCCAUCCAAGAGAGCACUGUCUGAGCCUAGAUCCAUCCAAGAGAGCACUGUCUGAGUGGUAACUAGACAUGGUUCCUCCAAGGUGCAAAGCUCAGGCAGCUGUUCUGAGUCCAUCUUCCAGGUUCAACUCCUCAGGUCCUAACAACUUAUAUCUUGGCGAGGUGAGGAUUCAGGAGGGAAAUUGUCACCACAGGAUGGGGUUUUUCCCUGCCUCCUUCCUGGGGAGAGAAUCAAGAGGGACACUGAUUCCCAGGGGACUGCCUCCUUCCAAAUGCUGACAAGCCCUAAGAACAGCACGUGCUUUGCAGAAAAGGUCAGGUCCAGAAAGCAGGAGACUCAGCAAUUCCCUGAAUAGCCCAACACUGAGUGCAGGCCGCCUCCAUCAGAACUCACAGGCUCCACGGAAAAUGAACAAGAGUCCAGCAGAGAGAGCCAGAGACCCAGGAGGAGGGCCUCCCGUCAGACCUGGGGACAGCCAACGGGCUAAUCCCUGCAUGGACUGCGCCCUCUCAUCCGCAGAAGCCGCCCCGGGCAUCCAAUCUUCCAGUCGGGCGGGUCUAAUGGGAUUGAAAUAAGUCCUCUAAAUGCCCAGCUCAUUUUUGUUCCUUAAUAAACACAUGCAUAGAGAAAGAAGCAAUUAAAGCAAGGAUGAGGAAAGGAACAACCAAGGAAGAAAGAUGAUUGCCAAACUCUGAGAGGCUGUUUUAGACAAGAGAUGACAGGGAUGGAAAAUAAAAGAAAACGCUGCCACCGCCCUGGUUCCCUGCYUGAGCCCUUCGACGACUUACUGCUGCCUCCCAAGACCACGGUGUAGGACWAUGUCAUACCAGGCAGUCUGUGCCCCAGCCCCUCCCAGGAUGAAUUCUUCAGUUUGCGAGUCAGUUCCAGCAGCCGACCACCGUGGUCACUGCCAGAAACAGGAGCUUCUGGAAGAUGUUUCCAGGCUCUGGAUGGGGGGCCAAAAUCCACAAAUCCUUUUGCACAAAAAGAAGGCACCACUCCUUUGGCUUGAACCUUUUUCCUUUGGUGUGUGUGUGUGUGUGUGUGUGUGUGUGUGUGUGUGUGUUUGGUUGUGGCUUUAAUUUUUUACAAGUCUGAUGUGUCUUCAAUUGUAAAUGGCUUGAGUAAGAAGGGUGGGUGUGCUAUUCCUGAAACCAGGAACCCAGGAGAGCUGCGACCUCAGUCACCCAGAAGUAUUAACUGUUACUGACCAGCUCCUACUGUCUGGCUAAAAAGGGGAUGAACAGAGCUGCUGUCUGACUCGCACGCAGCCCACCAGCCAGGCCUGCCUGGCACUCAACUUUGUGCCAGGGGCUGGGAGGGGCUGCACAGGUGCGCUUGGCCAAACACUGCCCUUGAGGGCUGGACCAUCCUCAAGGGGACAUUGGACCACAGACAGUCAUCGGCUUCUGCUGAGCAGGGGUGUGAGUCCCCUGAGAUCUGGGGCCUGGUUCCCCCAUCUUGCCUUCCCUGAAGCUGGGUGGAAAGAUUUCCAUCUUUCAACCACUGGCUCCCCGCCCCUCUCCCCCCCCAUUGGUUCACUCCUCAUCAUUAACACACCAAAUGCUGUCGAGCACCUGAUUGGAUACUUUGCCAAGCACAUGGUCAAUUACUGACAGAAGAAAAGGGUGAGAAAGAGCCAACAGAAUCCAGUUGUGAAAUCGGUGGCCUGUCUGAUAUCCAUCACCCUUUCAUUUGAUGAUAGAAUCUCCCCCAUGUGGACCCAUGCGAUAUGGCUGGGGGGUUCUGACCCACCAAUAGGGCAAGGACAUGACCAGUUCAGACAAGUCAGUGUGUUCUGUCCCCCUGGACAAAAUGAGGGAUCCAAACAGAUCCAGAUCCCUGGGAUCUGAUAGGAACUCAGAAAACUUUCCUGAACGGUCUGCUCUGUGGCAGAAGAGAACAGAAAGAGCCGGAAAUGAGAAGAUAGGGCUGGGGGCUGGUGUGACCACCCGCGGAAGUAGGGAAUGCAGAAAAGGAUGUAGGUUCCAGAAGAAAAUGGAAGAUUUGUUUUUGGGUAUAKGGAAGUCGAGGCAGGAGGACGUCARGACAAACGUUUCAURGGAAGCUGGGAGUUGGACACACGAGGUUUUGGAAUCAUUGGGGUUGAGUGGAGAAUCAGUCAAAGUAAGGAAAAAGUAAGGCGAGGCUCGAACUGUGCAGAAUACGACCAUGAAGACGCUGGAAGAAGAGGAAAACGAGAGGCAACGCACCCGGGAAGGAUUCAGGAAGAGGCAGUUGAGGACAGUGMGGUGUCAUGGCUAGGAUCAUCCAUAAAGGCCUCGUUUUUCUCAUGUACAGAGAAGUUUUUGAGAUAAAGAUAUUAUAUCUCUCAAUGUCCAAUCUUAAACAGAACAAAAAUAUUUCAGCCAUUUAAAAGACAAAAUACUCUGAAGCAAAAUUCGCAAAAUGCUGAAUAGAAUGUGACGUCACAGAGACACCCGGGCUGUCCAACAGCUUGGUCCCCAGGACCGAAGGAGUCAGGGUCCCGAUACUCCUGGGCCUCGGGCUGCUGUGCUUUCUAAGUGUGUAAGCGACUUAGAGUUUAGCAGGUGUCACCUCUGAUCAGCUUCACUCUGAUCUGAAUAUGGUUUUUUCCCUCUGAAUCUCAUGUUGGAAUCUGACUGCGACUGUGGCAGCGUUGGGAGGUGGAGCCUUUAAGGUUGUGCCUUCCUUCCCUGUGGGACCAGACUCCUUACCUCGGGAACAGGCUGUUAUAAAGCAAGUCUGAGCCCUGUAUUUUGUCUCUUCUGCUUAUCUACCAUGCAGUGACACAGACGCCCUCACCAGAAGCUGAGAAAACACCAGUGCCAUCCUCUUGGACUUUUCCUACCUCCAGAAUCAUGAGCCAAAAUAAACCUCAUUUCUUUAUCAA